rnacentral:misc_RNA from 1 species
UUUCCGUAGGUGAACCUGCGGAAGGAUCAUUAUCGUACAAAAUGUGAGGGGCAUGCGAGGGCUGUCGCUGACCCAAACGUCGUGCACGCCCGAGUGUGUCCUCUUGCAUAAUAAUCCAUCUCACCCUUUGUGCAUCACCGCGUGGGCACCCUUCGGGAUCAUCUCGGAGGGGGGCUCGCGUUUUCACACAAACCCCCCUUUUAAAAGUGUAGAAUGACCACAUUUAUGCAAUCAAUACAACUUUCAACAACGGAUCUCUUGGCUCUC